UGGGAGGUACCUGAUUAAAUGGGCCGGCCCAGAACUGCUUAUAUUGCCAGAGAUAAAUGUUUUCGGAUUCCCAAUUCUCUUUAUUUUUGUUAUAUGAACCUAUCAUUUCAUCUUCCUCACAUAAACGUUCUCAACAAUCUUCCUUCACAUAAACGUUCUCAACAAUCUUCCUUCACAACAUGAAUGGAAUAUUUGGCAUUUGGCCAAGAGUAUGAAGCUAUGGUCGCUGAACAAAGUUCUGUGUGCGGUGCUUGAAUCAGCAGUUUCCAAUGGAGAACCCGAAUGAUAUGUGUGUUAGAUGUUUGAUAGACAUCGUAGGUAAUGUCGGAAAGCUCUGGUUAGAUAAUCAUUGGCUUAGUGAUUCUGUUCAAAUUUUAAGGUCCAUUUUGAGUCGAUUGCCUUAUAAGAAAGAAAUGUGCCAUCGCUGGCAAGUGAGAGGCUAUUGCCCCUAUGGCUCUGAGUGUAUAUUUGCGCAUGGACCGCACGAGUUGAGGAUGAGGAUGGAGAAUUAAAUUUGAGAUAAUCACAGAGUUACAUAUUCUUAAAUUUAGGAAAAUGUUGUCUUUACUUUUAAGAGUUACAUAUUCUUUAGAUUUACAUAUUCUAUGUGUAUAGUCUUUUAAAUCACUAUUGUUGUAAUAAUUAGAUUUUCCUUUACUUUUAAGAGUUACAUAUUCUUUAGAUUUACAUAUUCUAUGUGUAUAGUCUUUUAAAUCACUAUUGUUGUAAUAAUUAGAUUUGUCUUUACUUUUAAGAGUUACAUAUUCUUUAGAUUUACAUAUUCUAUGUGUAUAGUCUUUUAAAUCACUAUUGUUGUAAUAAUUAGAUUUGUCUUUACUUUUAAGAGUUACAUAUUCUUUAGAUUUACAUAUUCUAUGUGUAUAGUCUUUUAAAUCAC